rnacentral:rRNA from 1 species
AGCGAACGCUGGCGGCAGGCCUAACACAUGCAAGUCGAACGAACUCUUCGGAGUUAGUGGCGGACGGGUGAGUAACACGUGGGAACGUGCCUUUUGGUUCGGAAUAACUCAGGGAAACGUGUGCUAAUACCGAAUGUGCCCUUCGGGGGAAAGAUUUAUCGCCAUUAGAGCGGCCCGCGUCUGAUUAGCUAGUUGGUGAGGUAACGGCUCACCAAGGCGACGAUCAGUAGCUGGUCUGAGAGGAUGACCAGCCACACUGGGACUGAGACACGGCCCAGACUCCUACGGGAGGCAGCAGUGGGGAAUCUUGCGCAAUGGGCGAAAGCCUGACGCAGCCAUGCCGCGUGAAUGAUGAAGGUCUUAGGAUUGUAAAAUUCUUUCACCGGGGACGAUAAUGACGGUACCCGGAGAAGAAGCCCCGGCUAACUUCGUG